rnacentral:rRNA from 1 species
CUCAUUAAAUCAGUUGCGAUCUACGUCGGCGUUCCGCGCCGCCGGAUAACCGUAGUAAUUCUAGGGCUAAUACGUGCGAGCGCCGAGCCGCGAGGCGACGGGCGUUCUCGCCGGAUGUAGGAACCGACCCGGGGACCGCCGGGGGCAACCCCGGCGCCCCCGAGACGGGGCGAACCACGGUGAAAUGACGGAUCGUCGGCCCCGCGCCGGCGACUCGCCGAAUGAGUUUCUGACCUAUCAACUCGAGACGGCGGGGUAGAGGCCCGCCGCGGUAACGACGGGUAACGGGGAAUCAGGGUUCGAUUCCGGAGAGGGAGCCCGAGAAACGGCUACCACUUCCAAGGAAGGCAGCAGGCGCGCAACUUACCCUAAUCUCGAUUCGAGGAGGUAGUGACAAGAAAUACCGAUGCGGGACCCUACGGGUGCCGCGUUCGGAAUGAGUACGAUUCGAACCACCUAACGAGGAACGAUCGGAGGGCAAGUCUGGUGCCAGCAGCC